GCAGGGUGUUGUGGGAAAAUGCCGGUCUACAGCAAAGAUGAAGAAACAGCAAGAUGGAGCUUCUCGAACGAACGGAAGUCGGAAAACAAACCCGGAGGUUAGGAUGGUGGGCAUCAGGGCAGCGAACAUGAGGAACAACAUGGAGAAAAAAAGGAAGCCAGUGUUGUUGAAGACCUUGCUGGCAUCAUUUCCAAUUUUUAAAUAAAGCAGGCCAAUCAACACUCCAAUACACAGAUGGGACAUCACCCUGAGGUGGGUCAGCACCUUGAAAACACACAGACAACAAAACUCAAAAGCCCUGAAACAGUACAUAGAAUUAUUGGUUUUGCCUAUCACAGUCUGAGCAGCUAUAAUUCAUAAAAUAAUGAUUUUACCGUGUCCCUGCAUAUGGUAAUGAAGGUUCUUUUGAAGAGGAUGCAGAACUGUGUGAAUGUACUGGUGGCAAAGCUAUGUUUCUCAAGGGUUCCUGUGUCCUGUGGAAAAAGACGGUGAGAGCAUGGACUUAGUUGUGUAAUUCACACAGAUACAAGACAACCAGUAGCAAAAACAUGGAGAAAUCACAUCGUUUCAUCCUAUGCCACUGAUCCUGAAGAGACAGCUCACUUUUGGCAUUUUGGCCUUAAACUAAUUAAUACUUUCAAACAUACACCUGUGUCUGCACCACUCUCUAGGUGCAGAAUUAUAGCAUUUUGAGUGGAAGCUGAGAGAUAAGUGUAAAAGGUUGCUGUAUUUAUAUAUAAUAUUUUAAAUCAUGUAAUCAAAGAAGAUAAAAGUUAGGAGGCAAUAGUCAGAAAAUGAAGAUAUGGGCAUAAUGUAUGUAAGAAUAGAAAACACAAUAAUCUCUGUCUAUGGUAAAGGUCACUGGCUGAUGCCUACACAGAAAAACCCAGAAGAAGAUAGAAAGGGCAACGGAGAAAAUCAAUAAACUGAUAAAAUGUUUAAAGAGUAGAAGGGAAAAACUGCACCCUGCACCAAGUAGGAGUAAUGGCAGAGAGAGCUCUGGUUGGUGGUUUACAUUUAUACUUUUAGCAUUUAGCUCAUUCCCUUAUCAAAACCAACUAAUGAAGGUGAGAAAGAGAGUGAGAGGAAGCUGAGGGAGGCUGAGGAGACAGAUCGAUGGCGCAGUGAAACAGUUUGGGGAAAAAUAAGUAAUAAUGAGGGGAGGAAAGGGGAACGGGGUAUUUUGUUUCAAUGCGACACAAGUGACUAAUUGCUCAGUUUUGAGGUUCUUUUAUUAGAGUACUUUUGGUCAAAAUGGACACAGCCAUGACUGCUUUAUUAUAAAUUGUUUAAUAAGUAGAACAUAUAUAAUUUCUACCAUAUUCCUAUCAUAUCUAUACAUCAUGUAAAUCAUUUGAUGUUUAAUGGUUGCAGCUAAUCUAUCACAAACCAUUGACGGGAACUGAUGAAAUCUGGUGCAAUAUCCUGUCAUCAAAUAAGACAGUAAUGGCAGACAUUUUCUGUGUUGCUGUGGUUGUAGAGCUUCCUUAUUAUAUGAUCUGAGGCCAUGACGUCUGUAAAUAUAAGACACACAUAUAGGUGUAUUGCUAUGGUGAGGGGGCUGGUAUCACUCACACUGUAACAUUGAGAGGGACAGGAAGAGUCACUUUUGUCUCUGGAGUUCUUCUUGCCCUCCUCAGAGCACAAUCCACCCUGGACUGCCUCAAACAACACUGGAUUCAGAUCCCCAUACUCCCCUGAGGCCACCUCAAUGACUGGGGGCAGAGAGGACAAGCUAGUAAGAACACAGACACAGACAUACAUUUACUUGCACUAAAGGAGUUGCUGGACUUACUGAAAUCAGCAGGAUUGUGAUACGUCGGACAGUGGAGGCCCAGGUUCUUCAGGUAAGGGAUGAGGUAAGGGACUGUGCCCUUGUAUAUGCACUGACCCUGACUGAGGAUGUACAGCUGGUGGAGGAACACAAGUACAGAGUAAUCAACAUAGCUUCCAACACACUGACUCUGUAAAUAAUACAUGAACAACUUACAAAACAACAGGCCUUGCAUUGAUUGCUGUGCUGCUUGUCAGCUGGCUAAAAUGAAUCAUGCUAAGCUGUAUUGUCCUGGUCUGGUCUGAGUAACGGCUAAUGGAAGACUUGACGUGUCCAGCACUUUAAGCACUCAAGUUACCUUAUCAAACAUCUCAAAGAGCUUGGCACUGGGCUGAUGAAUGGUGCAGAUGAUCGUCCGUCCUCCCUGAGCCAGAGACUUCAUGAGGGAAACAACCUGGAAGCAGGAUGCACUGUCCAGACCACUGGGAUGGGACACAAGACGAGACAGAAAACCAAAGAGACGGAUGCACUAUUUAAUCUGGAUUUCUGUUGAGAUUGUGCAGUUCAAACUAGGUGAGUAAUAUUUUACCUGGUGGGCUCAUCAAAGAACAUGACAGGAGGAUUGUUGACCAGCUCGAGGGCAAUGGCCAGUCUUUUACACUGGCCUCCAGAGAUACAGUUGGUGCGUGUCUCAGCACAGUCAAGAAGACCCAGAGCGGUCAGGAUCUCAUCCACCUUAGACACAAACAGGGACGAAUGUAGGUACAUGAUUAUGCAGAUAACUGCUAAUAGGGGUGGGCGACAUGGAUAAAAUGUUCUACCAUAGUACUAAUGACAUAUGAUAUAUGAUUAUAUCAUAAUAUUGAUAUAUAUUGUGAUGUCACUCUGUGGAGAUACAAAAACGACCUGACUGCAGACAAGAUGGUGGACAUCAACCACGAUUGUUAUCCAUAUACAGAAGUGCCUGCUUAAAUUUGUAUUCAUUGAAACUAGCUUCUUUGUUGUUUUGUUCAUGUCUGUAAAUCAAACAAUAAAAUGCAUCUGUGUGAAAAUGUAGAGAAGAUAUUACCCAUAAUGACUUAAUACAAUCAAACAUAUUUAAAGGAUACUUCAUUAUACCUAGCAUUUGACAUCUCUUAAGUGAGACACACAUCUCUUGCCCUGCCCAUCUUUAUCUGGAGAAUAAUUCAAUACAUACUGUAUAAUUGUAAUGCAAUCAGUAUAUUCUGACUUACAAGUUCUUUUUUGACCUGCACGCUCUCAUUCAUUUUCAGAUGGGCAGAAACCUGAAAGACAGAAGCCAGCACAUUAUUAUUGAACAUUAGACUUUAAUGAUGUGUUGGGAGUUUUUUCAUGUUUUUCGGACAACCUCACCAUCAUGGCCUCCCUCACAGUGAGGUGUGGCAGCAGCAUGUCAUCCUGCAUGAUGUAGCAGGACAUCUUCCUGAAGGUCCUCAGAUCCCGUGGUCGACCAUUCACCAGGAUCUGGCCCUUCAUGCCCGUCUGCCUGUUUCCCAUCAGAAAACAAAAUGCAGCCAUAUUCAAAGCAGUAAAUUAAAUCAAAAGUAUGAUCUUAUAUGAACAAAAAGAGAAUAUAAACUGUUUAGGAAUCUUCAUUAACAAAAAUUCCACAUUUCACCUGUAACCCGCCAGAAUAUUCAUCAGAGUGGAUUUCCCGGCUCCUGAAGGCCCCAUGAUGCCAAUCAGCUCUUUGCUGUUGAAUCUUCCCGACAGACACUUAAGGAGGGCUUUGAAACCUGACAGAGAGAAAAAAAGCUUUUAUUUAUAGUGCUGUUAUUAAUCAGGACUUGUUCUUUUAUCUUUUUUUGUAUCUUUUAAUGCUACAUAUUGGACCAUAUUGAACAAUGAGCUUUCAAUAAAUUUAUUAUAUUUACGAUUCCAGCCUGUUUAUAGGACUCACAUGUAGAUGAGAUUGUCUACAAAAUAUUUCUGUCUAUUGAACAUCCACAGGUAUUAGCAUUCAGUAACAGUAAUCUUUCAUUGCCAGUCCAUGAAGAGAGAAAUAGAGGAAAUAGUUAAUAUAAAUAUAUAAGCUCAAAAACAAAAUAGCAAUAGCCUAUAAAAGUGAGGUUUUAAGAGCUAAUUUGGAAGAUUAAGCACAAGCGCCCUCACCCAUUACAGUGUUCACUGUUGAGGGAUGUUUAUUUAUACCCUUUGUUCUUCCACAGGUUUUGGAAAAAUUGUAGAAAAAGACAUAUAUAAAAGCAACAUAGGGACUGAAAAUUUCUGCUGACACAAAAUGAUUUCACAUUUUGCCUUAUAAUAAAAAAGUAUAUAUAUUUGUUGUGGUUAUUUUAGUCGUGGUCCAUCUGUUUGAACAAUUAUGAGUCUGCUGAGCUUUAUAACACCUUCCUUGUCACCAGUGGUUCAGGUUCAGUCUAAGGGCCUGUUGGAACAGUUGAAACUUACUGAGCCCUGAAACUCAGUUCACUGAUUCUCAAAGUGUUUCUAUGGAUGGUUAUGCAGAUAGUGAGUCCAGAAGGGGAAGUCACAGCCUAAUAAAUCUGAGUACUAGGAAUCCUCAGGCAGAGCUAGCAGUGUUGUCAGUCAUAAGUAGUCAAGAAAAUAUGUUGUCUUUUCCCUAAAUAAGGACAAUAUUGUCCUUAUUUAGCAGGCUACAUUGACUACAGCCACCAUUUUAAAAUAUAAUAGAAAUGCUGCUGUGUAAGCUGUUAUUGGUGUCUGUGGAAAAGAAAAAAAAUUCAAGGUGAAGUUGGCUUUGAAGAAUAAAAACCACUGCCUUUUAGGAGAGUAGGACGUCAGGUGUGCAGCGCAAAAUUACUGUGAAGGAAAAAAAGCUAAAAAAAAGAAACAAGACCCAAGAACGACUUAAAAUCAUGACGCCCCGAGUGGCGCCAAACAGAAAAACCACAGUCAUAUGGUUGUAGUGGUGUGGCCUGCUAAUGAAGAUGCCUCAGGUUUUUUCAUGACGCAUUUCCUAACCUUUGUGGUCCUGGAAGCACAGUGGAAACAUUAAAACAACCAAUUUCACAUCUGACAUAGAUUCAGAAAGCUUCCAGAUAUGGAAAGUUAAAAAGGGCUUUAAGUCUGCUGCCUUGUUGUCACCCGUCUCCCUCGCCUCACCCAUUUUUCCACUGUCCACAGGGAUGCUUCUUCCUGUCUCGAGCUAUGUAAUUAGGGUCUCAGCAGAGCUGCCAGCCCCCUUAAACCCUCACUCUAUGAGUAAAGUAGCCUAAUGGCAGUGCCUCCUCCUCCCACGCAGUGUUAUUACAUCAGACGGCCUCCACUCAGACAGCAGAGCUGCCUGCUGUCAGUGAAGCAGCCCUGCUCUGGCAUGUGGUGCAUACUGAUGAUCUAACCCGAUGCUGUAGGUCGCGCAUAACAAUGGUCUUAUCUGUGUGUGGCUGCAGGCACAUCCUGAUCACCCAGUCUCCUGAGAGCCACAGAGUAUGUAUACUCACCUCAAUGUCCACUCCUGAUAGCACAAGACACGCUGAUCUAACAGAAUGUGACAGUACACGCUCAGCCAUUCCAGCCUGAUCUCAUAGGUAAUUUCAAAGUAAUUGUUAGAUACAUUAUUAUGAGUCAUGGUUGAGGUGGGGUCAUUACAUGCCUCAAAUUGGAUCCCAUGGCCCAAAUGACAACUCAGUUGUCACACAAGGAAUAUGAACCAGUGUGAUAAAAAAAGAACUUAUUUUCCCUCAAAUUCUUUUUUUACUACAGUCGUAUCUAAAUUAAUUGUAUUCUAAUCUUAAAGAAGUUGUCAACACAAACGUUGUAUUUAUCUGUAAUUUCCUAUAUGCCAACAUACACAUCCAGGCAGUGGUCACACUGUUGGACAGUAACUUGCACAUGAUGAUGUGAUAAAAUAUGUUUAAACGAGUAUAACAUAAUUUGAAUACAAAAGUGCAAAGAUAUCAUCUUUUUUCCAUGCAUUCUUCAAUUAUCAAAACAAGGUGCCUACAUUACCCACAAUGCAAAUCAACCACCGCUGUUCACAUGGAACCCUUCUCCACUUCGGCCUUCAAAGUUCUCGUUUGAAUAUUUGCUACUACCACCAA